UGAAUACGAGACGCUACGGCGUCGAAGCAGUCUAUGUCAGGCUUCCAAGAAAAGCUCGCAAUGUCAUAAACAAAUAAUGCCUGUACCAUAACCGACACAGGUGGGUAGGUAGAGUAUACUAAGGGGCGCGAGAUAACUCUCUCUAAGGAACUCGGCAAAAUGACUCCGUAACUUCGGGAGAAGGAGUGCCUUAUUUAUAAGGUUGCAAUAACAAGAUCCAAGCAACUGUUUAUCAAAAACACAGGUCUCCGCUAAGUCGUAAGACGAUGUAUGGGGGCUGACGCCUGCCCAGUGCCAGAAGGUUAAAGAAGUUGGUUAGCAUUCGCGAAGCUGAUAACUGAAGCCCUGGUGAACGGCGGCCGUAACAAUAACGGUCCUAAGGUAGCGAAAUUCCUUGUCGGGUAAGUUCCGACCCGCACGAAAGGCGUAAUGAUUUGGAUACUGUCUCGGAGAGGGGCUCGGUGAAAUAGACUUGUCUGUGAAGAUGCGGACUACCUGCACCUGGACAGAAAGACCCUAUGAAGCUUUACUGUAACUUGAAAUUGAAAUUGGACUUUAUUUGCGCAGCAUAGGUGGGAGGCGUUGAGAGUAUUCUUGCGGGAAUAUUGGAGCCAUCAGUGAGAUACCACUCUUGUAAUGUUAGAUUUCUAACUUUGUAUCAUUAUCUGGUCAAAGAACAGUUUCAGGCGGGCAGUUUGACUGGGGCGGUCGCCUCCCAAACGGUAACGGAGGCGUACAAAGGUUUCCUCUGAACGGGUAGAAAUCGUAUCUAGAGUGUAAAGGCAUAAGGAAGCUUGACUGUGAGACCUACAAGUCGAGCAGGGACGAAAGUCGGUCUUAGUGAUCUGACGGUGCUGAGUGGAAAGGCCGUCACUCAACGGAUAAAAGUUACUCUUAGGAUAACAGGCUGAUCUCCCCCAAGAGUUCACAUCGACGGGGAGGUUUGGCACCUCGAUGUCGGCUCAUCGCAUCCUGGGGCGGUAGUACGUCCCAAGGGUUGGGCUGUUCGCCCAUGAAAGCGGUACGCGAGCUGGGUUCAGAACGUCGUGAGACAGUUCGGUCCAUAUCCGGUGUAGGCGUUAGAAUAUUGAGAGGAGCCUUCUUUAGUACGAGAGGACCGAGAAGGACAUACCUCUGGUGUACCAGUUAUCGUGCCAACGGUAAACGCUGGGUAGCUAUGUAUGGAGAGGAUAACCGCUGAAAGCAUCUAAGUGGGAAGCCCACCUCAAGAUAAGUAUUCC
rnacentral:rRNA from 1 species